GCGCACGGCUAGGAAGUCGACUAUUGCUCUUUAUGCGAAUUUCGUCAUUCAAAUUAUGUCUUCAAGAUCAAAAUUGUUGUUUGAAUAUUAUUACGAUUUUGGUAUAUGCUGGAUUAAAGGAAUAUUUUCGAAUUUGGUUUAAAUUUUGAAGUUUUGAACUACGAAAGGCUUGAUCCCUGUUGAGGGUAUGUAGACAGUCUAACGAGACGUUAGAUGCAGCCAUAAAAUAAAUGUGUUUAAAUAUUCGAGAAUUAGUAUAUAGAUGGAAAUUGAUCCAAGAAAAGAAAAUAAAUUAGCUAUGUUUUUAGGUUGGGCCUACCAUAAUUAUUUUUUCCAAAUAUACAAAUAUUUCGAGACCGGGGCGUUAGAAAUGGUAUCAAAGCAAAUGAUCCCACUUUACAUUAUGAUAUUUGGUUGAGUUGUGAAUGUGAAUUAUGGGUCUCGUUGAUAUUGCAUUAUAUCAUAAAUUCUAUGAAACAUGAGGAAUCUAUGUGGAAAGUAUGUGUUGUAAAUCGUCAUGAAAUGAAUUAAAUGGGAAUAGAAAUUUUUGAAAUGUCACAUUUCUUGUAAUAGCCUUAAUGUUGGGUAUUUGAUUAAGGUUUUGGGUUAACCUUUAUUUAGGGUUGAAUUUAUAUUAUGCAUUAUGGAAAACGUAUAGGAAAUACAUAUAUGAUUGCAUCGUGCUUGUGAUGAUAAUUCCAUGAUGAAUAUGAAAUAGUGAUAGUAGAAAUUAUUAUUUUUAUUUAUAUUGCAUUAGUCUCUAAGUUCUCUGAAUACUAAGGAACUUGUGUGGAAUGUAUUUGUUGUGAAGUAUGAUGCUUUGAAUUGAAUUGAAUGGGAGUAGGAAAAUUUUAUAAUAUCGUAUUUAUGUUAUAGCUUUGAAAAUGAGCAUUUGAUAAGGGUUUGGUUUAACCUAGAAUUGAAUUGAUUUUAUGUUAUGCAUUAUGAAAAUGUGAAAUGCUAAAAUGAUGGUGGAAUGGUGACAAGUAGAUGGAAGAAUUGCUUUAUACUUGUGCCAGUGGAAGAAAAGAACCCCUGGAUAUGUGAUUGGGCUGAAAAGAGCCCGUGGAUAUGUGAUUGGGCAUAAUGACCCGUGAAUGUGAAAUUGGGCGAGAAAGGCCCGUGGAAAAAAAAAAAAGGUGGUGUAUAUUGGCCAGGUAUAAUACAAUAUUUUCCGCCUACUAGUCGCUUAUGGAGAUAAAAGAAAAUGGUGGUGAAAUCAUUGUUUUGAUAAGGAUAAGUAUAGUUAGGAAAAAAAUAAAAAAUUCUCUGACCAUGAAAAUUUUGGUUGGAAAUGUUAAUAUUUAUGGAAGAGAUUGUGAUUUAUUGAAUGGGAAUGGAAUU
rnacentral:lncRNA from 1 species